UGCGUAGGCGGUUUACUAAGUCAGAUGUGAAAGCCCCGGGCUUAACCUGGGAACUGCAUUUGAUACUGGUAGGCUAGAGUAUGAUAGAGGGGGGUAGAAUUCCUGGUGUAGCGGUGAAAUGCGUAGAGAUCGGAAGGAACACCAGUGGCGAAGGCGACUGCCUGGACUGAUACUGACACUGAGGUGCGAAAGCGUGGGUAGCAAACA
rnacentral:rRNA from 1 species